rnacentral:rRNA from 1 species
AGGGCACCACCAGGAGUGGAGCCUGCGGCUUAAUUUGACUCAACACGGGAAAACUCACCCGGCCCGGACACUGGAAGGAUUGACAGAUUGAGAGCUCUUUCUUGAUUCAGUGGGUGGUGGUGCAUGGCCGUUCUUAGUUGGUGGAGUGAUUUGUCUGGUUAAUUCCGAUAACGAACGAGACUCUAGCCUACUAAAUAGAUCGUCGGCUUACAAACGCCGGCGAGACUUCUUAGAGGGACAGGCGGUGAUUCAACCGCACGAAACAGAGCAAUAACAGGUCUGUGACGCCCUUAGAUGUCCGGGGCCGCACGCGCGCUACACUGAAGUGAUCAGCGUGCUUUUUCAACCUACUCUGUCAAGAGUGGGGAACCCAAUGAACCUUCUUCGUGAUUGGGAUAGGGGAUUGUAAUUAUUUCCCUUGAACGAGGAAUUCCCAGUAAGCGCGAGUCAUAAGCUCGCGUUGAUUACGUCCCUGCCCUUUGUACACACCGCCCGUCGCUACUACCGAUUGAAUGUUUU